UUCUUGUCCCAGCUAUAAAUACUCCAACAGAUCAGCGCUGCGGCACAGUUCUGUUUGAAGUCUUACAAAGUGAAGUAUAAAAAAAGAGUUUCCGAAAAGUCUAGAGUUUUUUAACUAAAUUAAAGCAGCUGAGCCGCCACCGGUUUCUGGUGGCGGCUGACCCAGCUGAGAAUCUCUAAAGUACAGUCUUUAACCACGUGUAAAGUAAACCAGUUGAAUGCUGUCUCAGGUCUUCUGGACAAAAUUAAAGUCGAAUAUACGAAAAUUUCAUCUCAAAUGGAACGCUAUAAAUGAUUCUUUAAAUGUUAGCAAGAGGAAAGAAAACUAUGCUACAUAAAACAAACAAAAAAUAAAAUAUUUGAAUUUGCGGAACAUGGAAACAUUAUCAUCUCCAAGCCAUCUUUACAAACCAUUCUAUGAAUCCAUAUCGAAAGAAUGCAAAAAAUCAUUGAAUAAAUAGAACUCUUGAAAAAAUAUUCUUAAAGAUAAGAUACCAACUAAAUGUUCUUCGCUUCAAUUCAACUUUUUAUGUAAAGAAUAAUGUCAAAGAGAAUGUCUGAAGAUUUGGAACGCUUUUUAUAUAAUGUCAAAAGAAAAUCUAAAGAUUCUUAAUAUCAGCUAAACCCAUAA